ensembl:lncRNA
UGGAGAGGAGAGACCCGACCGGUGCGGGUGCGGGGUGGCCGGCGAGACGGACCCGUGCGACGAGCUGUCGCAAGACAAGGUCGCAAGACUGAUUCGCCAGAAACGUCCGGACUGCAGUGUGUUACUCAGGCUUCCUCCUGCGGAGAGAGGGGCUCCGUAGGGUCGGGUGUGUGGAGGGGGCUUCCCUGCCAGGCGGAAGGCGGAUGGCCCACAGUGGGGAAGGGAGGAGGCGUGUGGAAGCGGAGGGCGGGGCCGGGCCGCGGGAGGGGUUCACUCCAACUCCAGCGCCUUUGUCCUUCGGUGCUUCUACAACCAAACCGAUCCCGGGCCUCCUACCGAAAGCUCCCUCCGCCUAGACCCUCGUUUCCCUGCCCCUCAUCAGCUGUGGGCUUCGCUGGUGGCUCAGAUUGUCAAGAAUCCGCCUGCAAGACAGGAAUCACGGGCUCGAUUCCUGAGUCGGAAAAAUCCCCUAGAGGAGGAAAUUGAAACCCACGACUGUGUUCUUGCCUAGGAAAUCCCAUGGACGCAGGAGCCUGGCGGGUCACAAGGACCGAAACAGCUGGACACACAGACUAAACAACAGGAAACAUUCUAUUGAUCUGAGCCGUCACAGCCACUAACCACAUGCAGCCAGGGAACUCUGGGCUGGUGGUUUCUCCCAAUUCAGAGUCGUGAUCAACGAGACCAGAGAGGCUGAGAAACUUGAGGAUUGACACCGUUAUCAUCUUCAUUUCACAGUCGUGAUCAACGAGACCAGAGAGGCUGAGAAACUUGUCCUGGGUCACUCAGCUAGAAGGCAGUUGACCUGCGGAGUUGAUCACGGUGUUCCAAGAACUGCCAGGUUCUGAAGCACAGGUCCCGCUCACUGAUGGAGUCCAGACCAGUGACUGCACUAGUUGUCUAGAACUUUCAUAUCCCUUUUUGCACCCCUGCCCAUCCUUCCGCAGAGGAGGACCCUACUUUGCAUACCCCAGGGGCGUGGUCAGCCCUUCUGGUCAGCCCUUCUAGCUUGGUCCUUGGCACUGUCCUGGCCCCCGUCACUCUGCAGAAACUGCUGUGGCGCCAUAGGUCGCUGCGCCUGCCGCACACUUUGCACGAGAAGAGGGGGAAAGCCACAAGAAGAGGAAGGCGACAUUGAAGGACAGCAAGGUUGCUGGUGACACACACAUGGAUUUGCUGGCGCAAGGCCCACAGCUCCAUGGUUUUGAUAAGAGUGGGUGGCCCCUGGGGUCAAGUCCUCACCUGAGCUUGUCUUGGCUUCUGGCUCUCUGAUUCCCUGCCGGCUUGGGUUUUCCCUGUCUCCUGUGGGAGAGGAAGGGUGGGGGGAGUGAUCUGUUUCACUUCUUAGGGAACCCUAAUAACCUUCUGGACAGAUUAGCUCUGAGGUCCCCUCUGGACAUGCCUGGCAGGAGUCAGCCCUCAACUAGCAAACACUAGGGAUAAAGAGAGUUUUUGCCAGGUAUUUGGGAAUUGAUCCUCAGACAGUUUCAUUCCUGCAAGGGAGUGUCUCACAUUAAAGUGAUUUACAUCACCUUCUAGUUCAUGCAUAGGACCCUUAGGAGCUUGGUUAACUUGAGUUAGUACCCCUUCCCCAUCAUGCCCUGUUAAAGUAUUAGUUGCUCAGUUGUGUCCGACUCUGCAAUCCCAGACUGUAGCCUGCCAGGCUCCUCUGUUCAUGGGAUUCUCCAGGCAAGAACACUAGAGUGGAUUCCCAUGCCCUCCUCAAGGGGAUCUUCCUGACCCAGGGAUCAAACCUGGGUCUCCUGCAUUGCAGGCAGUUUCUUUACUGUCUGAGCCACCAGGGGAAACCCCACCAUUCCCUGUUCUCUGCUCAGACAGAAAUUCUACUGCUGGCCCCAGACCUCAUCCAGAUGCCAUGUGCCUUCACUAAGGUAUUGUAUCCUCAGAGUCCCUGAUAUCCUUGCCCUGAAGGAGUUAGGAGUAACAGGUCAGGAUGGGACUCUAGGAUGACCCGCAGAGGUCUCAAGCAUUUCCUGUUUCUGCAGCCUGAGGAACCAGGUACCUUGUCAGACUCUUGCAUUUUUGCCAAACUCACAGGUUAUAGAUUAUAUCUCAUUGUUGUUUAAAUAUGCAUUUCUCUCUUUAUAGUUGUAUGAAAAAUCAUAUUUAUUAUAACUAAUUUUAAAGACUUUAUUGAAGGACAGCAUACAAAAAUGAUGUUAAAGUGUAAAACUUGAUUAAAUUUCACAAAGUAAACACAAUUGUAACCAUUACUCUGCUUAAGAAAAAGCAUUACUAUCUCCUAAGAAGAUGUUCUUCUGUCCCUUUCUUGUCAUGACUCUCUUCUGCC